rnacentral:pre_miRNA from 1 species
UGUCUGUGUGUGUUACUUGCGUUCUCUGAUUCGCUUGGUGCAGGUCGGGAACUGAUUGCGUUUCUCCCUGCCGGCAUCCGACUGCUGCUGUCGCCAGUGGGUUAGAAACAAAUUGGAUCCUGCCUUGCGUCAACUGAAUCGGCGACUGCAGUGAAUUUGCCGGAGA